rnacentral:rRNA from 1 species
UGGGGAAUAUUGGACAAUGGGCGCAAGCCUGAUCCAGCAAUGCCGCGUGCAGGAUGAAGGCCUUCGGGUUGUAAACCGCUUUUGUCAGGGAAGAAACGAGUUUCUCUAAUACAGAGACUUAAUGACGGUACCUGAAGAAUAAGCACCGGCUAACUACGUGCCAGCAGCCGCGGUAAUACGUAGGGUGCAAGCGUUAAUCGGAAUUACUGGGCGUAAAGCGUGCGCAGGCGGUUAUGCAAGACAGAUGUGAAAUCCCCGGGCUCAACCUGGGAACUGCAUUUGUGACUGCAUAGCUGGAGUGCGGCAGAGGGGGAUGGAAUUCCGCGUGUAGCAGUGAAAUGCGUAGAUAUGCGGAGGAACACCGAUGGCGAAGGCAAUCCCCUGGGCCUGCACUGACGCUCAUGCACGAAAGCGUGGGGAGCAAACA